rnacentral:tRNA from 1 species
GUGAGAUUAAGUUAUAUCAGACUAAGUGUUUUCAAAACAUUAAGUGGCUUAUUGUUUUAGUCAUCUUGCG